rnacentral:tRNA from 1 species
GUAAAUAUAGUUUAAUUAAAACAUUAGAUUGUGAACCUAACUAUAGAAGCCCGUCGCUCCUUAUUUACC